GGUCCCAUAACUCAGUCGGUUAGAGUGCGGAGCUAAUAACUCCGAAGUCGAGAGUUCGAGCCUCUCUGGGACCA
rnacentral:tRNA from 1 species